rnacentral:rRNA from 1 species
CGGAGGGCGUAGCGUUGUUCGGAAUGACUGGGCGUAAAGACGCGCGUAGGCGGAUCGCAAAGUCGGGGUGGAAAUCCCGGGGCGUCAACCCCGGAAUGGCCUUCGAGACUCGUGGUCUGGAGUUCGAGAGAGGUGGGUGGAAUUCCGAGUGUAGAGGUGAAAUUCGUAGAUAUUCGGAGGAACACCAGUGGCGAAGGCGGCCCACUGGCUCGACACUGACGCUGAGGCGCGAAAAGCGCGGGGAGCAAAACAGGAUU